rnacentral:rRNA from 1 species
GGGACACGUGGUAUCCUGUCUGAAUAUGGGGGGACCAUCCUCCAAGGCUAAAUACUCCUGACUGACCGAUAGUGAACCAGUACCGUGAGGGAAAGGCGAAAAGAACCCCGGCGAGGGGAGUGAAAAAGAACCUGAAACCGUGUACGUACAAGCAGUGGGAGCACGCUUAGGCGUGUGACUGCGUACCUUUUGUAUAAUGGGUCAGCGACUUAUAUUCUGUAGCAAGGUUAACCGAAUAGGGGAGCCGAAGGGAAACCGAGUCUUAACUGGGCGUUAAGUUGCAGGGUAUAGACCCGAAACCCGGUGAUCUAGCCAUGGGCAGGUUGAAGGUUGGGUAACACUAACUGGAGGACCGAACCGACUAAUGUUGAAAAAUUAGCGGAUGACUUGUGGCUGGGGGUGAAAGGCCAAUCAAACCGGGAGAUAGCUGGUUCUCCCCGAAAGCUAUUUAGGUAGCGCCUCGUGAAUUCAUCUCCGGGGGUAGAGCACUGUUUCGGCAAGGGGGUCAUCCCGACUUACCAACCCGAUGCAAACUGCGAAUACCGGAGAAUGUUAUCACGGGAGACACACGGCGGGUGCUAACGUCCGUCGUGAAGAGGGAAACAACCCAGACCGCCAGCUAAGGUCCCAAAGUCAUGGUUAAGUGGGAAACGAUGUGGGAAGGCCCAGACAGCCAGGAUGUUGGCUUAGAAGCAGCCAUCAUUUAAAGAAAGCGUAAUAGCUCACUGGUCGAGUCGGCCUGCGCGGAAGAUGUAACGGGGCUAAACCAUGCACCGAAGCUGCGGCAGCGACGCUUAUGCGUUGUUGGGUAGGGGAGCGUUCUGUAAGCCUGCGAAGGUGUGCUGUGAGGCAUGCUGGAGGUAUCAGAAGUGCGAAUGCUGACAUAAGUAACGAUAAAGCGGGUGAAAAGCCCGCUCGCCGGAAGACCAAGGGUUCCUGUCCAACGUUAAUCGGGGCAGGGUGAGUCGACCCCUAAGGCGAGGCCGAAAGGCGUAGUCGAUGGGAAACAGGUUAAUAUUCCUGUACUUGGUGUUACUGCGAAGGGGGGACGGAGAAGGCUAUGUUGGCCGGGCGACGGUUGUCCCGGUUUAAGCGUGUAGGCUGGUUUUCCAGGCAAAUCCGGAAAAUCAAGGCUGAGGCGUGAUGACGAGGCACUACGGUGCUGAAGCAACAAAUGCCCUGCUUCCAGGAAAAGCCUCUAAGCAUCAGGUAACAUCAAAUCGUACCCCAAACCGACACAGGUGGUCAGGUAGAGAAUACCAAGGCGCUUGAGAGAACUCGGGUGAAGGAACUAGGCAAAAUGGUGCCGUAACUUCGGGAGAAGGCACGCUGAUAUGUAGGUGAAGUCCCUCGCGGAUGGAGCUGAAAUCAGUCGAAGAUACCAGCUGGCUGCAACUGUUUAUUAAAAACACAGCACUGUGCAAACACGAAAGUGGACGUAUACGGUGUGACGCCUGCCCGGUGCCGGAAGGUUAAUUGAUGGGGUCAGCGCA